GUUGAUACUGUUUAUAAUGCUUUUUUGUUAUUUUUUAUUUAUAUGGAUCUUGUCUGUACACCAGCUUUGAUUAUUUGUAAUAUCUUCAAUUUUUCACUUAUUCUUACAACAUUUGUAUAAACUUCAAGAUUAUAAAAAAACCGUUUUUUUUCUAAAGUGAACAUUGAUUGGUUAAAUAUUUCUCAGUCAUGUCCUGUGUUUGAAUUUGUU
rnacentral:lncRNA from 1 species